rnacentral:rRNA from 1 species
GCAGUCGAGCGGUAAGGCCCUUCGGGGUACACGAGCGGCGAACGGGUGAGUAACACGUGGGUGAUCUGCCCUGCACUUCGGGAUAAGCCUGGGAAACUGGGUCUAAUACCGGAUAUGACCUUCGGCUGCAUGGCUGAGGGUGGAAAGGUUUACUGGUGCAGGAUGGGCCCGCGGCCUAUCAGCUUGUUGGUGGGGUAAUGGCCUACCAAGGCGACAACAGGUAGCCGACCUGAGAGGGUGACCGGCCACACUGGGACUGAGACACGGCCCAGACUCCUACGGGAGGCAGCAGUGGGGAAUAUUGCACAAUGGGCGAAAGCCUGAUGCAGCGACGCCCCGUGAGGGAUGACGGCCUUCGGGUUGUAAACCUCUUUCAGCAGGGACGAAACGAAAGUGACGGUACCUGCAGAAGAAGCACCGG